UACGGAGGGUGCGAGCGUUGUCCGGAAUCACUGGGCGUAAAGGGCGCGUAGGUGGCCUGUGGAAGUCUGCGGUGAAAGCCCGGCGCUCAACGCCGGGUCGGCCGUGGAUACUCUCGGGCUUGAGCUUACUAGAGGCAGAUGGAAUUCCGGGUGUAGCGGUGGAAUGCGUAGAGAUCCGGAAGAACACCGGUGGCGAAGGCGGCUGC
rnacentral:rRNA from 1 species